rnacentral:tmRNA from 1 species
GGGGCCGUAGUGGCUUCGACGAGUAGUGUUAUGAGUUAAGGAGCAUGCAGAGGCUGGCAUCGAGUUCUCUUUAAUUUUUCGAUGUAACAAGCUUAAUUGGCGACAAUUUAGCUUUAGCUGCUUAAUAGAAUAAGUAGCCGAUGAUCAGGAGAGUGCUGAAAUCUCCUAGGAUUCGUCAUUUUUUCAGCUGGUGACUUUCACUUCCGUCUGUAGUGUGAGUCAUAAGAUCAAUCAGACUGCGGGUUACAUACAUGUGUUCUUGUAUGUAUUAACCAAGAGGAUUUUGCAAGAACUAAGCAUGUAGCGUCUUUUCCAUGAUCUAUCUCGGACACGGGUUCGAUUCCCGUCGGCUCCACCA